rnacentral:rRNA from 1 species
AUACGGAGGAUCCGAGCGUUAUCCGGAUUUAUUGGGUUUAAAGGGAGCGUAGGCGGAUGUUUAAGUCAGUGGUGAAAGUUUAAGGCUCAACGUUAAAAUUGCAAUUGAUACUGAAGGUCUUGAGUGCAUUUGAUGUGGGCGGAAUUCGUAGUGUAGCGGUGAAAUGCUUAGAUAUUACAAAGAACUCCAAUUGCGAAGGCAGCUAACAGGACUGUAACUGACGCUGAUGCACGAAAGUGUGGGGAUCGAACAGGAUUAGAUACCCUGGUAGUCCACACAGUAAACGAUGAAUACUCGCUGUUUGCGAUAUACAGUAAGCGGCCAAGCGAAAGCGUUAAGUAUUCCACCUGGGGAGUACGCCGGCAACGGUGA